rnacentral:misc_RNA from 1 species
UUAAAUGACAUUACUGUGGAUCUUAACGAAACCAUCGAUGGGAUCAAAGUGAACAACAUUCACCUCUAGCAAAUCAACACCGUUCAUUUUUACCACAACGAAGUGUUCCCAAGUGGCAGACUAAAUCAUGACCGUCAAUGACCUGGCCAAAACUCGCAACACGCUUUCACUUGCAUUCCUCACAUACGCUCCUAGUGCCGCGUAGUCUUCAAACGCUCUAACAUCAAUCCGACACUGUUUGAACUUUGGCAAAAACAGCCAAAACGCUGUCGUCAUAACAAACCCAACGGUCAAGAAUCCUGACAAUAACCUUGGCAGUUGCCACUUCUUGUUUAGCGCCUUCUUAAGAGCAAUCUCAGCCGUUAAACAGAACCCAUGCAGAAGAAAGAACGCAGAGAUAUCCCACGUGGGCCUCACUCGCCCCAGGUAAUAGAACAUGAGCUCGUGCAUUGCUGCCGACACCACAAAUGUUCCGAAAACAGCCGGAAGUGUGGCCAACUCCCGGCCAAUGACACGUGCGAAGAAGUUGCGUGUGGGUUCAUAAACGGUGGGGUGUAGGAUACGAGUGACCAUGAGGUUCCAUCUCUUGCCCCAGAAAUCUUGAAGCGAUGUAGAGAGGUAGGGCUCAUUGAACUGUGGUUCGAGCUCUAUGCCUAGCAUGGCUCGAGCCAGGGCUGCACUUACGGCUAGAGUGAGUUCCAAGAAGAAAUAAAUAUGGAAGGCAUAGAGAACCAGGAUGAAUUUUGGAUGGAUAUAUUCACUGUAAUCAUAUACACGAACCAACAUGGCCACAGCUAUGCCCUUUAUUGCAUAGUUUAGAGGACCUUCUCUUGGUUUUCUUGAUGGGUUUUCCUUGAUUUGGCCAUAUUGGUGUGAUUUUAGAGGUGGGUUUUCUUUAUUUUGAUGAUUUAAGGGCUUGUUUGGUGGUGGAUUUUUUCGGAUCUUGAUGGGUAAGCAAGAAACAGCCACAAAAAGAGGGAGAGAAAUUGAUGGAUCUGCAGAAAGAGGACCUUUACCAAAAGCAAAGAGAAGGAGCUUGAAAUUGGCAAGCCAAGAAAUGAAAAAAAGCAGUAGUACCACCAAGAUGAGGAGAGAAGAGAUUAAGAGGAAGGUAGAAAAAGAAGCAAACAACUGGGAGAACAAAGAGUAGUCUUUUGAUCCCUAUAGGAAUAAUGUUUCUAAUUGCAUAACAAUGACAUAGAGAAAU